AGCGAACGUUAGCGGCGCGCCUAACACAUGCAAGUCGCACGAGAAAGGGCUUCGGCCCCGGUAAAGUGGCGCACGGGUGAGUAACACGUGGGCAACCUGCCCAACCCUGGGGGAUAACCUGCCGAAAGGCGGGCUAAUACCGCGUACGAGGGCUCGACUUCGGUCGGGUUCUGAAAGCAGGCCUCUGUAUACAAGCUUGUGGGGUUGGAUGGGCCCGCGCUCCAUCAGCUAGUUGGUGAGGUAACGGCUCACCAAGGCUACGACGGAUAGCUGGUCUGAGAGGAUGAUCAGCCACACUGGAACUGAGACACGGUCCAGACUCCUACGGGAGGCAGCAGUGGGGAAUCUUGCGCAAUGGACGAAAGUCUGACGCAGCGACGCCGCGUGGGUGACGAAGGCCUUCGGGUUGUAAAGCCCUGUGGGGUGAGACGAACAGCUGGGAUUCGAAUAGGGUCUUGGUCUGACGGUAUCACCUUAGCAAGCACCGGCUAACUCUGUGCCAGCAGCCGCCGUAACAC
rnacentral:rRNA from 1 species